CUAAAAGGCGUGUAGAUUGAUGAAUAUAUAAAUCCAACGUAAAUUAAGUGCUCUGGUGUUUGAGUUUUCCUGAAGUAUGAUUAUUUUUUUAUUGUUUGUUUUGACGUAACUCGUAUAGAAAGUUAAAUUUAAUUAUUUCUUCUAUUUGUUUUGAUGUAAUUUGGAGUUUCGUUAUUUGUUUUAAUGUAAGUAAGUGGAUCCCAUUAUCUCCUAAAUAUAUAUAGUGGUAAAUUUAUCGCUAUACAAUUUAAUCUAUUAUAUAAUAAAAAAAAAUUUAUUAUUUAAAGGUAAUCUUAAUUUAUUAUAAAUAAAAUAAUUCUAACUCAUUAUAAAAGAAGUACAGUUUAAGUUUUACGAUGUAAUAAAUUUUUUAGAGAAUGUUGAAUGUGGCGGAAGUCGAGUUCGGCAUUUUAUAGGAAGAAAUAGAAAAUAGGUGAAAUGAAGGUCUAAUAUAACUUGAAUUAUAUUAUAUUUUUAAUUUAUAUUAAAAUAAAUAAUAAAAUGAUGAAAUUUGAAUUUCAACACUUCACUUACAUCAAAACAAACGGACCAAUAUAUACU
rnacentral:lncRNA from 1 species